CCCAGAGAGAACCUUUUAAAACUUAUUGUGCUCAGACGACAAAAUAUAAUACAGUAUUUCAAAAUAAAACCAGUUGUCACAUUAAGCUAAAUAAAAAUGGUAAGCCGAAUUUUGGAGCCACAAAAACACCAGUUCAAUUUGUUUUUAAUUGUUCUUGCUGCAAUUUUUCUAAGCAUUGGAACGGCGAUAAAUUGGUGGACGCAAGGAGAUGGUGACUCUAAAGCUCAUUUUUGUCUAUGGGAAAUGGUAGAUUGUAACGACGGAGUUUGCCUAGUUUCAACUGCCAACACUGCAGGUUGGAUAAAUUUUGUUCGAUUGAUGAUAAUUGUGGGAUUAUUUUGUUUUGCCGCAACAUUACUAGCCAUAUGUUUACUUAUAUAUAAACCAAGAAGGGAGUUCAGAAUGGCUGCUCUAUUGUUCAGCGGUAUAGCUGGUGGAGUUCUUUCCCUUACUGGUUUCGUGGUUAUCGGAUUUUUUGGACGAAUUGGUAAUCGUUAUAACACUCACUCAGACCGCCUGACCCUUGACCCGAUGGCUCUAAGAUUUCAAGCACUGCCGCUCGCUUUUAUUUUUAUGUCAGCUUUUAUUAGCUGUAUUGUUGGAGCAUUCACUUUAGUCAAAAUUGACCCCAAGAAAAGAAUUAUAAGACAGUCUUCGAAGAAGCUGGGAGAAUAUGAAAUGGCCCCCAUCAAACCAAUUGAUCCUAUAGACCAAAAGUUUGUUAAGGGCGCAACAAAUCUUUGAUUAAAACAUUAUAACAUGUACUGACAUUACACACUUAUACAGAUUUGUAUACUUAACAUUAUGCGUUCAGAAAUGCAAAUCUUAUUUUUUGUCCAAAUUGUUUUUAGUGAUAACAUUACCUUAAAUGUUUUUUAUUUAAGGAAUGACUGUAAUAUUUUUUCUGUCUAUGAAGAAAUAACAUCAAAAAUGUGGUGCACACUGAAUAACCCGCGUAGCGAGUUAUUUUAAAGUGUGCACCACAUUUUUUAUGUUAUUUCGAAUAGACAGAAAAAAUAUUACAGUCAUUUCUUAUAAUUUAAUUCUAAAUUCCAUUUUAAACCGGAGUAAACCAUGAAAAAACGUUGAUGACGUCACGGUCACAUGACAGAAUUAUGUCUAUGAGCUGAUAAACAAAACACCGUCAGCCAAUCAAAAGACGCGUUACAUCCAAAAUUAAAUUAUUUAUUUAUGUUUUCCUUAUUUAUCAAAUUUGAGAUCAUUCGACGUCUCAGAAUACAUCAAUGUAUGGUUGAUGGUAGAACAUGAAAACAAAAUAUAGAAUGGAAUAGAAAAACAUUUACAAGACUUUUAGUUAACAAUGUUUUCUCAUAAACUGUGAGAAAAUUCUAUAACAUAUUUGUGUAAAUUAAAUCAAUAAAUAAUGACGAAUUUUG